AGCAAAAUUAUGUAUGUUUUUGUUUUUGUUCUUUGCUUGUUUGUAUAUUUUUUGUACAUGUAAUUAUUAAAAAACAUGGCAUCAUAUAGAAUGUUCAUACAUCCAUUUCAAACAGAAUAGCAAUAAAAGCCUCAGAAAAACACAGAAAAGGUAGAAUGACACUAAGGUACAGUUUCAUACCUUAAGCCACUCUGGCAUACUGAAACAAGUUUGAGACAAAUGUAGAAAAAUGUAAGAAGGCAAAUUUGGGAUAUAUCCAGAAUAUAUGUGCACAUAGGUCCAGUCAGAUACAUGCAUGUCAGUAUAGAAUUGUAAGACAAUUGUAAGAUAUACAUAUUCAAAAGUAUAUUAUUGUUUCCAUUUGUGUAAAAGAGCAUAGUAAGGUGUUUAAGGAAAAAA